ACUGUUUAUCAAAAACACAGGUCUCUGCUAAACCGUAAGGUGAUGUAUAGGGGCUGACGCCUGCCCGGUGCUGGAAGGUUAAGAGGAGUGGUUAGCUUCUGCGAAGCUACGAAUCGAAGCCCCAGUAAACGGCGGCCGUAACUAUAACGGUCCUAAGGUAGCGAAAUUCCUUGUCGGGUAAGUUCCGACCCGCACGAAAGGCGUAACGAUUUGGGCACUGUCUCAACGAGAGACUCGGUGAAAUCAUAGUACCUGUGAAGAUGCAGGUUACCCGCGACAGGACGGAAAGACCCCGUGGAGCUUUACUGUAGCCUGAUAUUGAAAUUCGGCACAGCUUGUACAGGAUAGGUAGGAGCCUUUGAAACGUGAG
rnacentral:rRNA from 1 species